CAUGGAAAUUAAAAUAAUUAAAUUUCAAGAGAUAAUGCUAAUUUGAGUAAUGUAAAUAUUGGUAAAAAUCCAAUACUUCUAUAAUUUAAGGGUUCCUAUUUAUUAUUAUUUUAAGUAGGGUUAGUCGAAUCUUAAGAUGAGAUGAAAUGUGUAAUCGAUAGGUAAUAAGUUAAUAUUCUUAUACUAUAUAAUAAUAUUUAUAUUUUAAAACUAAUAUAAUAUAUUUAUUAUUAUAUUAUAUAAAAAUUAUUUAAAUAUAUAUAUUAUUAUAUAUUCGUACCGUAAACUGACACUAGUAAAUAUAUAUAAAUUAUUAAGAAGUUGAGAUAAUUUUUUUUAAGGAACUCGGCAAAUUUAUCUUGUAACUUAGGGAGAAAAGAUACUUAUUUAGUUGAAAACAAAAAAUUUAAGCGACUGUUUAACAAAAACACAAAUCUUUGCUAAAUCGAAAGAUGAUGUAUAAAGAUUGACAUCUGCCCAGUGCUAUUAUGUAAAAAUAAUAUUUAUAAUUUAAAAUUAUAAUAUAUAUAUAAGCUAUAGUAAACGGCGGCUGUAUCUAUAACGGUCCAAAGGUAGCGAAAUUCCUUGUCGGGUAAGUUCCGACCUGCAUGAAAGAUGUAACGACUUAAAUGCUGUCUUAAAAAAAAUCUUAAUGAAAUAAAAUUAUCUGUGAAGAUGCAGAUUUCUUAUAUUAGGACAGAAAGACCCUAUGAAGCUUUACUAUUAGUAGGUAUUGAAAAUAUAUAUAUAUAACAUAGAAUAAAUGGGAAGUAUUGAUAUUAUUUUUUUGGAAAUAAUGUAAUUAUAAAUGAAAUACCAUUUUAUAUAUAUAUAAAUUCUUAUAAAAUUUUUAUAACAAAAUUUUUUACAAUAUUUAUAAGAUAGUUUGACUGGGGCGGUCUCCUCCUAUAUAAAAACGGAGGUGUACAAUGUUAUAUUUAUUAUAUAAAGAUAAAUAUAUAAUUAACUGUAAAAUUUACAAAUUAAACAGAGAUUAAUGUCGGUCUUAAUGAUCCGAUAAUUAUUUAAUAAUAAGAUUAUCGCUUAACGGAUAAAAGUUACUCUAGGGAUAACAGGCUAAUCUUUUCCGAGAGUCCAUAUUGACGAAAAGGUUUGGCACCUCGAUGUCGGCUUAUCGCAUCCUAAAGCAGUAGUAUGUUUUAAGGGUAAGUCUGUUCGCCUAUUAAAGCGAUACGUGAGCUGGGUUCAGAACGUCGUGAGACAGUUCGGUCCAUAUCUAAUAUAAGUGUUAGAAUAUUGAAAUUAUUUUUUCUAGUACGAGAGGAUCGAAAAAAUUAUACCAAUGAUAUAUCAAUUAUUAUAUAUUGUAAUGUUGAGUAGUUAAGUAUAAAAUUUUAAUUGUUGAAGUAAUAUAAAUAAGAAAAUUUAAUUAAAAAUAAUAUUCUAAUCAUAUAAAUGAAUAAAACAAUAAUUAGAAAAAUUAUUUUAUAGAAUUAAUAUGUAUUUAUAGUAAUAUAUUUAGUAUAUAAUUCCUAAUAAGUUGAAUAUUUAAUUAU
rnacentral:ncRNA from 1 species